GGGUUAGAUAAGGGGUGUCACGGUCUAACAGUCAUUGUGUCGGAGAGCAACUUCCAACCAGGGCCCAAAAUAAGAGAUCCGUGCUUGAUUUGACAAUUGUUGUUUUUUAAGAUUUGUUUGAGGAUCCCUCCUCCCUGUGUUCUAUCAGUGAAAUCUGUACACAGUCACCAAUCACUUUUGUACUCUGAUUGCAAUCCUCAAAUUUAGAAUGACUCAUUAAUAGGAUUAACGGUAUGAUGGGAGUUUUCCCUAAAUCAGAUAAAGCCUUUCAAUGAGAUGAAACAGUGUUGCGCACACCAAUGUGUUGACAUCUGUGUAAAAUCUUUUGAUGUCAUAAAUGUGAUGGUGACCGUGGUUGGAAUGUGCCUUCAGAAAAAAACGAGCUGAAAAAAACAAUACAUGGAUCACUGGGUCUCUCCUGUGCUGCAGCUUGAGUCUAUUAUUGAUGUCAUCUUGAUCCAAUUUGAUGAAUCUUAGGGGUUCGCCCAAAGAGAGGGGCCAGUCAGAGCAAACGCAGUGUGACCUUGUCCCAGCUUUUCUCUCUCACUAUGAUUCGGAAUGCAUUUAGAGGUUGGGAGUUAUUUCAUUAAAGACUAAACACGAAACAGGUUGUACCAGAGCGCUCUUGUCUGAAUGGGUGCUAAAUGUUCCGAUAAACUCCGAAGCAUGCCAAAGGUGAACUGAAGAUCCUGUUGCAUAGCCCUGGUGUUCAGGGCAGGGUCACGGUCCCCUCACGGUCCUCGGCUCACGCCUUUGAUCAGUACCCUCUGUGAGGUAAUGGUGCUAUCUAUGCCACGCCGCCGCUGCCAGCGAUGACAAGGAGCGAAGGAGCGCAUGGAGGGUUACAGUCCAGCGCUCGGUGCAGUCGCCAUGGGCUACAGCAGUCUUCGCCGGACGGAGAGGCCUUAUUGGAUGUGGCAGGCUUGAACUCUGUCCCUGCUGACGCUAACUCAAUGAGGUGAAGGGGUGAGAGGCAGAGGUUGGGUUCGACUGGAGACAGUUCUACUUUACAUGUCUAAGAGAGAGCUAACAAGAACUGCCUGUGAUUUCAUUUCAGGAAAAGAUCGUUUGACCCCUGAAAUUCCUUUCUUCUUUGGGAAACGGAUUCGUUCUGCUCUGCCUCAUAUUUCGGCGGUUAGGCAGGUGUACAUUUCAGACGGCUACUAAUAACUUGCUAAUUUAACUUAAAAAGGACAUAUUUCAGGACGCGAAAGCCUCAGUAGCGCGCAAGAGUACACUUAAAAGGACAACGCAGGAUACGUGUGUUUUUACAAUGGCUACCACGCUGAGAGCACAAUGGCUGUCAUCAGGCCCAGCUCCACGGCCAUAGGGAUUCUCAUUUGGCAGCCGGCCUGGCCAAACAAAGGAAGUCUAAAAGCUUAAAUGGUUUUGCUCCCUUCAUAUUUAUGUAGUGCACAAUGCAUGAGCUGCAUGUUACUGUCAGUCUCUCAUAGUUGUGUUUUUAUGAGGUGUAAUAAUUGACAGGGCAUAUUUCAUAGGGAGUUAUGAUCAUUGAGGGUUAUAUUAAUUUGACCCAUUAAGUAAUUAUUGAAUAAGAAACAUUUCUCUCAUGGAUUUUAUUUCAUUCCAAUUAUUUAGAUGUUUGGCAUUGUAAGAAUUAUGUGAUGAUAUAACAUUUAUUAUGUGGAAAUUUAACAAAGUAGGUUUUUGUAACCAGCUGACUAUAUCAGUUGCAUGGGCAAUGUGCAACUUCAAGUUAUUUAUGUAAUUUCCUACAUUUACUUUUUUACAUGUGCAUGUUUUAUAUCAUAAACAUAUGUGUACAUGCAUUUUUAAGUAUGUUAGAUGCAAGUAUGUUCGAUAUUGCUGCUUUUCCUACAUUGUUGCUCUUCUCCUUUGUGAUCUUUCUUUUUCACUCCCUCUAGUUCCACCUGUCCCACAACAUGUACAUGCACACACACACGCACGCACUCACGCACGCACGCACGCACACAUACACACCAUCACCAUCCCAACCCCAGGGUUGCCCAGGGGGAUGCUGGGUAAGUGAAGCUGACAGCUGAGACAGAGGCAUCGCUUCACACCCACAGGCCCAGCCGCCCUGAGAGGCACAAAUUCCUUCCUGGGGCUUUUAACACUUGCUCUCGGCCGAGGGGGAGAGAUGGAAUUAAGGAGAGGAGAGUGAGAGACAGAGAGAGACAGAAAGAGAGAGACAGAGUGUGAGAAAAGGAGACGCAGAGGCCAUUUUAGGUUCCCUUGCCCAAUAAUACCACUGUUGACACCUGGGUGGCCUCUACAGGCCACAGCUGAGAGAGAGAGAGAGAGAGAGAGAGAGAGGGAGAGAGAGAGAGAGUGAGUUAUGCACAGGAGCUAUUAUAGCAGACACCUCAAUCCUCCCCCACUCAGCUGCAUUUCCAUACCAUCACAGGUAACUCUGUUUGGCCGCCAGUUCCACAUACAUCUCCAUCAGAUAGCAUGUGGAUUAGAGAUACACAUCAGGCUGUGGUGCAAAUGCAAACGAGAUGAUGAACUGAGUUCACAUCAAUACAGCAUGAUUAUUUCCAUUCAAACACAUAGUUUUUUCUUUCCUGUGCAUGCUAUAUAUGGUCCACAUUUGCAUGUAUAUUUAAACCAAAAUGUCUUUCCAUUUUUAUUUCCAUUUCUUUGAUCCAAAGUUACUUACAAAUAAGCACAGACUUCCAGGUUACAUCUUCAAAAAACAGUUGGUAGGUGGUCUGUUUAUUAUAGAAAAUAAAUAGUGUGCAGAUAGAGCUGAGCAGAUGUCCAUCUGCCUUACCUUUCCCACUGACGAGAAAAAGGGGGGAAAUAUUAGUAGCGUUUCUGCCGGUGAUCUCCUGGUGCUCCUGGGAAACCCCAGCUCCCCAGCUAAGCAGCCUCGCCUUCAGGUUCUGGCAUCUCGGAGGCUGUCACGAAUACCAGCAUAUGUGGACACUGUCCUGGCACUGAACCCAAGCACCAGCGCCCCUGCCUGGCCCUUAUCACCCCCAUCACAUCCUCCCUGUCCUACCCCACAUACCGCAGCAGCCAGGAGAGGGGCCCGGGCUUUUCAUCCCAGUGCUGGAGAGAGGGCAGUAUGGGCUGUUAUUCAUCUUUUUCUUUUAUGCCUUCUCUCUCUCUCUCUCUACCUAUCAUAACUAUCUAUCCCUUUGUGUGCAUGCAUGAGUG